AUUGAACGCUGGCGGCAGGCUUAACACAUGCAAGUCGAGCGGAGCGAGGGUGCUUGCACCUUAGCUUAGCGGCGGACGGGUGAGUAAUGCUUAGGAAUCUGCCUAUUAGUGGGGGACAACAUUCCGAAAGGAAUGCUAAUACCGCAUACGCCCUACGGGGGAAAGCAGGGGAUCUUCGGACAUUGCGCUAAUAGAUGAGCCGAGGACGGAUUAGCUAGUUGGUGGGGUAAAGGCCUACCAAGGCGACGAUCUGUAGCGGGUCUGAGAAGAUGAUCCGCCAAAAUGGGACUGAGACACGGCCCAGACUCCUAAGGGAGGCAGCAGUGGGGAAUAUUGGACAAUGGGCGGAAGCCUGAUCCAGCCAUGCCGCGUGUGUGAAGAAGGCCUUUUGGUUGUAAAGCACUUUAAGCGAGGAGGAGGCUACUUAGAUUAAUACUCUGGGAUAGUGGACGUUACUCGCAGAAUAAGCACCGGCUAACUCUGUGCCAGCAGCCGCCGUAA
rnacentral:rRNA from 1 species